rnacentral:piRNA from 1 species
UGCUGACAUCUUUUAAGGACACUGCAUGC